ensembl:snoRNA
UGUCCCUGGCCUGGGUAGAGUGGCACCUGGUUGGUUGGUUGAUGGUGCCUGUCUCAUAUCAGUGAGGGACAAAACAACUCCUUGUUUAUCCCAGCUUGGCUUUUGCUCUGUGCCCAUGCCUGGUUCACGCCCUGGACACGUGG